rnacentral:rRNA from 1 species
CAGUCGCCGCGGGAAUACGAAGGGGGCUAGCGUUGCUCGGAAUUACUGGGCGUAAAGGGCGCGUAGGCGGAUGUUUAAGUCAGAGGUGAAAGCCCAGGGCUCAACCUUGGAACUGCCUUUGAUACUGGACAUCUUGAGUGUGGGAGAGGUGAGUGGAACUCCGAGUGUAGAGGUGAAAUUCGUAGAUAUUCGGAAGAACACCAGUGGCGAAGGCGACUCACUGGCCCAUUACUGACGCUGAGGCGCGAAAGCGUGGGGAGCAAACAGGGCUAGAUACCCCGGUAGUCCCUGUCUCUUAUAC